rnacentral:lncRNA from 1 species
CUAUAGUGGAAUACUGACGUCAUCAGCCCCGUCUCAGAGAUGAAGUGAAGCUGUAUCGCUUACUCACUAGCUGCUUUCUUUCAGCUCAUAGUAACCCAUGGCUCGCUGGAGGCAAGCAGACACUUCACCUGGCCUCCGAUACCCGGUUGAUCAGUUUCCAUGACGACAGUCAAAG